AUCAAAGCAAAGAUCCUGGCAGGAUACCCGAGCUGUCUUCAAGUCCAAUAUGAGGAAGACACUACUACUUGUUCUCACCUUAUCAGCGGGGGUUUAUGUUCUGUCUACCAACUUGUUUCGUGAGUACCACUAUGUGAGCAGCCCCAAGACGUGGGCUGAAGCUCAGCGGUACUGCAGAGAGGCAUACGCCGACCUGGCCACUGUGGACAGCCCAGAGGAAAACGGCAGACUGCUCCUUGAACUGCAGGGAUCCGGACAGUUUGCCUGGAUCGGGCUUUAUGACAACACAACGGGCUGGAAGUGGACAACGGGAGACGAUGACUUUGUCGACAAUAACAGUUUCCCACCUUGGGAACCGAAUCAACCUGACAACUAUGGCGGCAAGCAGAGCUGCAUAGUGAUGAAUUUGAUUGGAGGUUGGCGGGAUGAAAUCUGCAACACAGAGCGCCCUUUUAUCUGCUUUGACGGUAAGAAAAUAAAAAAAAAAUAAAAAAAACUCAAGUAUCACUUCCCAACCUACUGUCAAUAAAUCAUCAAAGGUUAAUAUAUUUGUGGCACCAUAUGCUGCACUGGUUAGAGCAGGCGCUCUGCAUUCACAGGCUAGAGACCUGGACAUAUCCGUCCCAAGUUCGACUCCUGUCCUCAGUUCCUUUGCUGCUCGUCUUUACCCCCUUCUCUCUGCUCCGUUCCUGUCACAUUAUUGUGUA